CGAACGCUGGCGGCGUGCUUAAUACAUGCAAGUCGAACGAGAAAGCUACCUUCGGGUAGUAAGUAGAGUGGCGAACGGGUGAGUAACGCGUAGAUAAUCUACCUUUGGGUUUGAGAUAACUUCUGGAAACGGGAGCUAAUACCGAAUGAUGCUUUAAGUUUGGAGCUUAAGGUUAAAGGGGGGCAACUUCCGCCUGGGGAUGAGUCUGCGUUCUAUCAGCUAGUUGGUAGGGUAAUGGCCUACCAAGGCUAAGACGGAUAGCUGGUCUGAGAGGAUGAUCAGCCACACUGGCACUGAGAACGGGCCAGACUCCUACGGGAGGCAGCAGUAGGGAAUAUUGCGCAAUGGGCGAAAGCCUGACGCAGCGACGCCGCGUGAGUGAAGAAGGUCCUCUGGAUUGUAAAGCUCUGUAAGGAGGGAAGAACCAUUUGGUGUAACGGCCAAAUCUGACGGUACCUCCAAAGUAAGCACCGGCUAAAUAU
rnacentral:rRNA from 1 species